AGCAGCCGCCGCGGGAAUACGUAGGUGGCAAGCGUUGUCCGGAAUUAUUGGGCGUAAAGCGCGCGCAGGUGGUUUAAUAAGUCUGAAGUUAAAGGCUGUGGCUUAACCAUAGUACGCUUUGGAAACUGUUUAACUUGAGUGCAAGAGGGGAGAGUGGAAUUCCAUGUGUAGCGGUGAAAUGCGUAGAUAUAUGGAAGAACACCAGUGGCGAAGGCGACUUUCUGGACGAAAACUGACGCUGAGGCGCGAAAGCCAGGGGAGCGAACGGGAUUAGAUACCCCCGUAGUCCCUGUCUCUUAUACA
rnacentral:rRNA from 1 species